AUUGAACGCUGGCGGCAGGCCUAACACAUGCAAGUCGAGCGGAUGAAGGGAGCUUGCUCCUGGAUUCAGCGGCGGACGGGUGAGUAAUGCCUAGGAAUCUGCCUGGUAGUGGGGGAUAACGUCCGGAAACGGGCGCUAAUACCGCAUACGUCCUGAGGGAGAAAGUGGGGGAUCUUCGGACCUCACGCUAUCAGAUGAGCCUAGGCCGGAUUAGCUAGUUGGUGGGGUAAAGGCCUACCAAGGCGACGAUCCGUAACUGGUCUGAGAGGAUGAUCAGUCACACUGGAACUGAGACACGGUCCAGACUCCUACGGGAGGCAGCAGUGGGGAAUAUUCGGCAAUGGGCGAAAGCCUGAUCCAGCCAUGCCGCGUGUGUGAAGAAGGUCUUCGGAUUGUAAAGCACUUUAAGUUGGGAGGAAGGGCAGUAAGUUAAUACCUUGCUGUUUUGACGUUACCAACAGAAUAAGCACCGGCUAACUUCGUG
rnacentral:rRNA from 1 species